rnacentral:tRNA from 1 species
GGAGGAAUACCCAAGUCCGGCUGAAGGGAUCGGUCUUGAAAACCGACAGGGGCUUAAUGGCUCGCGGGGGUUCGAAUCCCUCUUCCUCCGCCA